rnacentral:rRNA from 1 species
GACGAACGCUGGCGGCGUGCUUAACACAUGCAAGUCGAACGAAGUGGCGAACGGGUGAGUAACGCGUAAUCAACCUGCCCUUAAGAGGGGGACAACAGUUGGAAACGACUGCUCAUACCGCGUACUGACUGAGGGGAUUGCGGCUGCUUAUCCAGUUGGAGGGAUAACGGCCCACAAAGGCGAUGAUCAGUAGCCGGUCUGAGAGAAUGAACGGCCAAAGUGGGACUGAGACACGGCCCAGACUCCUACGGGAGGCAGCAGUGGGGAAUCUUCCGCAAUGGACGAAAGUCUGACGGAGCAACGCCGCGUGAGGGAUGACGGCCUUCGGGUUGUAAAGCUCUGUUAAUCGGGACGCGGUACCGGAAUAGAAAGCCACGGCUGACUACGUGCCAGCAGCCGCGGUAAUAC